GUACGGGGGGGGGCAAGCGUUGUUCGGAAUUACUGGGCGUAAAGGGCUCGUAGGCGGCCAACUAAGUCAGACGUGAAAUCCCUCGGGCUUAACCGGGGAACUGCGUCUGAUACUGGAUGGCUUGAGUUUGGGAGAGGGAUGCGGAAUUCCAGGUGUAGCGGUGAAAUGCGUAGAUAUCUGGAGGAACACCGGUGGCGAAGGCGGCAUCCUGGACCAACACUGACGCUGAGUGAGCGAAAGCCAGGGGGAGCAAACGGG
rnacentral:rRNA from 1 species